rnacentral:rRNA from 11 species
GAACGUCGUGAGACAGUUCGGUCCCUAUCUGCCGUGGGUGUUGAAUACUUGAGAGGAGCUGUCCCUAGUACGAGAGGACCGGGAUGGACGCACCUCUGGUGGACCUGUUGUUGCGCCAGCAGCAUAGCAGGGUAGCUAUAUACGGAAGGGAUAACCGCUGAAUGCAUCUAAGCGGGAAGCCCCCCUCAAAACCAGUUUUCCCUUGAGAGUCGUGGAAGACCACCACGUUGAUAGGCCAGAUGUGGAAGUGCGGUGACGCAUGAAGCUGACUGGUACUAAUUACUCGAUUGUCUUGAUC